rnacentral:rRNA from 1 species
UACGUAGGGUGCAAGCGUUGUCCGGAAUUAUUGGGCGUAAAGAGCUCGUAGGCGGCUCGUUGCGUCGGCUGUGAAAACCCGCAGCUCAACUGUGGGCUUGCAGCUGAUACGGGCGGGCUGGGAUUCGGUAGGGGAGACUGGAAUUCCUGGUGUAGCGGUGAAAUGCGCAGAUAUCAGGAGGAACACCGGUGGCGAAGGCGGGUCUCUGGGCCGAUAUCGACGCUGAGGCGCGAAAGCGUGGGUAGCAAACAGG